GGCCAGCCCGGGGAGGAAGAUGGAGGAGCCGCGGCCGGGCGGGCACCGCGGCCGUGCCAGGAGCGCGGCGGAGGGGCUGCUCUUGAUGGGUGGAAAACACCGCUUCUCGCUCUCCUCACGGCAUGGAAAAUACCGAAACACGCUUUAGGAGAAAAAAAUAACACAGCAACAACCCCCAAACAGCUGAGGAUUGAUGUAUCUUCAGGGAAGAAGCCGUCGCCGCUCGCCUGGCUCCUCACGACAACCUGCCCGCCAUUUGCUUAAUUAAAAGCAUAUACUUGAUGUGAUCAGAUGUGGUAAUACCGUAAAAAAAAAAACCCAAACCAAACCAAAAUACCCCGUAACAUCCAAACGCUCGUUGUUGGAGGCUGCAGCCAAGCUCGGCUGCUUAUUCCAGAAGUUUCUACAGGGGAGGGAGCACCCACUGCGGAGCCUUUGCCGCAGCGCCGGGAGGAGAUGCCGAGGAUGCGCCACCUCUCCCCUUCCCAAGCCUCCCCCCUUCGCUCGAUUUUCCCCAUCCUUGGGAAAAAAACGCUGCUGGGAGGUGUGUUAAGGGUGUUUUUUAUUAAAAAAUCUUCCUCCUUCCCCCUCCCCGCUUUGCUAAAUGAAUUAAAAGCAGCGCUGUCUCCCGAUGGAGAUGGAUGAGGCUGCUCGCUCGCACGCUCCCCUGCAGCCUCCGGCUGCCCCAGCGAGGGGACCGCGGCCACAAGUGACCUUCCCCAGGUGCCCCGACACGCUGCUGCUUCUUGGGAUUCAUUUUAAAUAGGCUUAUUAUUUUUUAUCUCCCCCCUCCCCUUAAAGAACAGUUCGCUCUUUCAGUGAUUCUUUUUUCUUGACGCUUCUUCAUGAUCCUUUUUUUUUGUGUGUGUGUUUUGAAUUGCAUCUUAAAACUGCCCAGCUGGAGACAGGUCUCGAUUAGAGCUGGAACAAUAGUUCCAUUUUAUUAAUAACGGGAAGGAUUUACAAUCCUCCAGCACCUUCCUUGGAAGGCUUUCAGGAAUCAUUUGCAAACACGCACACAUUUAAGAUCCCGCAGCCAAGGGCUGGGAGGUGGGUAAGUAUGUGAAUGGUGCCACCGCCAAAAAUCGCGUCGGUGGCCAAUCUGCCUUUCCGAGUGCUGAAAAAAAGACAGAUUGGGUGGGUUCUAGGGCUGUGACCUCAAUCUGUCCCGUGUUCUCUGUAGAUGCCGAUUGUUCUGCUGCAUCCUGAGAACUGGGCUGUACAGAGGACCGCGCCGCCUUGCCGGAGCGGAGCUGUGGACUCGCUUGCUGCUCAGUAAACAUCUGCUUAUAGAUCUUUAUUUCUUUGAUUAUCUUUUUCUAAUUCAUUACCUUUUUGCAGUCCCCAAGCGACCUCCUUUAGUGCUGGCUCCGCUGUGGUUUGACCGCAGCUUCGCGUUAAAGCGCUAAUGUGUCUAAUGACCUUGCUUGGGGACCGGGCCCACCGGGCUGCUGCGGAUGCUCCGUUUCCAUUACAGAACCCCACACGCCGUGUAUUCCCAUUUUUCCAACGCAUCCUUCCCUCGCCUGGGAAUGUUGCAAUAUUAUAGUGUCUUCUGCCUUAUUUUUUGUCCUUUUUCCCCCCCUCUUUCCUAGGGAUACACAGGAUUGUGUAACCCACGGCAGAUGUAACCAUCUCAGAGCUGUCUGGGCAGUCGGAUCUGGCCUUGCUGAGACACGGGUUGUGUAAGUGGCGUGUUGUACGCAGGCCACAAAACCCCACAACAUUUCAGUGGUUACGUCUGUCUGGGAGAGCGUGAGUAGGUCCCAGGGCUUCCCCUUCCCACCGCUUUGCCGGUUCACAAAACGAGAGGCUGAUGCUUCUGGAAAAAGCUCUGCCUUGUGGCCUUUAAAAAAAAAAAACCUGCUGUGGAUUAGUCAUCCUUGUUUUUAAAGGAAGCUGCGUUUGCCAGCCCUGGCCGUGUAACGCGUGUGUGUUAUCAGCCAUUGGGUUUAUUUGCUGGUAAGGUGCUGGGCUCUCUGGGGCGGCGCCACCGCGGCUCCUUCGAGCUGUUCCCGGCGGGUGGAAGAGCCACCACGGUCCAGCUUUUCAUGCCCUUCCCUCCGUUCUCUUGUUUUUCAGCGCUGGAAAUGUGGAGAACGCACCAAACGCACGUGGGGACAGACAAACGUAUUCUGGGGUCACUUCAACUCUGGAGGAGAAGCCCUGGGAUGUGUUGGUUUGGAGAUGCUCCUUGUGCUCACCGGAGGUACCAAGAAGCUGCUUGUUGGGGAUGUUUCCACGUUUUUGAGGUUGGCAACACCCCGUGGGACUCGGAAUUAACUUUUCUUUGGUAGUCGAGGACAAACGAGUGAGAAUCACCUUGGGAGCGCUGAACUUUUACCCCCCUCUCCUUCGGACUGAAGAGCUUCUAGAACUACAUCGGAUCCAGGAGCAGGCUCGGUGUUCAAAGCGUUAUCGGCAUGUGAGCCAGUAUCCUCCGUCUUGGCAACAAAUGAGCCCAAAUAUCAAACAGCGCCGAUUCCUUCUUGGAGAAAAUUAUCCAUUGCAUAAAACAUAAUGGGGGUAAGCAAUAAAAUUAGGCCAGUAAUUGAGGCUGGCUUAAAAAUGAGAUAAAAGCCUAGCUGGCAAUUUGAUAUUCAGCUGCCGUACUGUCAUUUUAAUAAAUAUAGUCAAUGAGCAGGAAAGGCACGUAAAUACGUUUUACGAUGGGGAGAUGGUGGCUGUUGCUGCCCGGCUCGAACAAAGAAACGCUCCCGGUGCUCCUGGCGAUGUCUGAGGGCUCCUGGCUGGGAAACCGGCCGCUUUGCUGUAAAAAGCAAAGCAAGCUGGUGCGCGCUGGGGACAAUCGCGGCGUGAAGCUGCUGCGCCCGCUCGGAUCCACGCGAGUCCCCGGUUGAUGUAGCAGAACUGAGUGUAGAAUGUUACGGUCUUAGCUCUGGUUGUUGUCCUUGUUCAGUACCUUAUCUUUGGUUUUGUUAAACGUUUGGCAAACACGUGGCAGCGAGUUCCACCUCUUGGGUAAGACGCUGUGUUUAAAAACUGUGUUUAAAAACGCAUGAACUUGCCGUUUCAAGCGUUGUCUGCUCGCUUCUAUUUAUUGAUGUUUCCCCUUGGAGGUGAAGCUGUUCCUGGCCGUUUGUGUGGACCCCAAGGAUGUUUUCUGGUUCUCCCGCCCUUGUUUUUUCUCUCCAAACUGGAGAGCCGCUAACUUUAUUAGCUCCUUAUAUGGCAGCACCAUUUUCUCACGCCUUUAAUGGCUUUCUUUUGAUCCGUCCUGCCCUUGCUUUGCUUUUCUUGACGUGGUGUUCAAGCUGAGAUGGGUUUAUAACCUGCUCCCUCAUUAAUAUAUGACCUGGCAUUUUAAUCCUCUCCGAGUGCUGAUAAGAAACGUCCAAAUAUUUUAACUGCGGGGUUGGCCGAGGUGCCCGGAGAUAGCCGAGAUCCCGGCUACGCCCACCGCGCAGACCUGAGUCAUUUAGAUUGCUCCUCGCCGCCUCCUGAAGGCUGAGGGCCGUGGGGUGAUGAAGAGCAGCUCGUGUCCCCUCGUCCUCGGCUGUUUGUCUCUCCGGGAAGGGUCACACGCAGGGAUGCGUCUGUGUAUUGUCCCUGGAUGCUCCUUAUGUUGUCACCAGUGGGCUGGCGUGAAAUCGUGUCCCGUCUGCGGUGACAAGGGCGGCGUUGGCUGCUGCCUCGUGCUCGCUCUGCUCUCUAAGCCCGGCUCCAUGUUCUUUAAAUACUUCGAACAUCUUGGAGGGAUCCGGUUACAGCGGCAUCGCCCGAGCGCAGCCGCGUGUUGCAACUCGGAACGGUUUCCUUCCAAAGCGCAUUAAAACCACCAGGA
rnacentral:lncRNA from 1 species